UCGGCUCUCUGAUCAGCACCAUGGCGGUUGGCAAGAACAAGCGCCUUACGAAAGGCAGCAAAAAGGGAGCCAAGAAGAAAGUGGUUGAUUCAUUUUCUAAGAAAGAUUGGUAUGAUAUGAAAGCAUCUGCUAUGUUCAAUAUAAGAAAUAUUGGAAAGACGCUCGUCACCAGGACCCAAAGAACCAAAAUUGCAUCUGAUGGUCUCAAGGGUCGUGUGCUUGAAGUGAGUCUUGCUGAUUUGCAGAAUGAUGAAGUUGCAUUUAGAAAAUUCAAGCCGAUUACUGAAGAUGUUCAGGGCAAAAACUGCCUAACUUCCAUGGCAUGGAUCUUACCCGUGACAAAAUGUGUUCCAUGGUCAAAAAGUGGCAGACAAUGAUUGAAGCUCAUGUUGAUGUCAAGACUACCGAUGGUUACUUGCUUCGUCUGUUCUGUGUUGGUUUUACUAAAAAACGCAACAAUCAGAUACGGAAGACCUCUUAUGCUCAGCACCAACAGGUCCGCCAAAUCCGGAAGAAGAUGAUGGAAAUCAUGACCCGAGAGAUGCAGACAAAUGACUUGAAAGAAGUGGUCAAUAAAUUGAUUCCAGACAGCAUUGGAAAAGACAUAGAAAAGGCUUGCCAAUCUAUUUAUCCUCUCUAUGAUGUCUUCGUUAGAAAAGUAAAAAUGCUGAAGAAGCCCAAGUUUGAAUUGGGAAAGCUCAUGGAGCUUCAUGGUGAAGGCAGUAGUUCUGGAAAAGCCACUGGGGACGAGACAGGUGCUAAAGUUGAACGAGCUGAUGAAUAUGAACCACCAGUCCAAGAAUCUGUUUAAAGUUCAGACUUCAGUUAGUGUCAAAUAAAAAGUGCUAUUUGUG